UACAGGGGGGGCAAGCGUUGUUCGGAAUUACUGGGCGUAAAGGGUUCGUAGGUGGCCACUUAAGUCAGACGUGAAAUCCCUCGGCUUAACCGGGGAACUGCGUCUGAUACUGGAUGGCUUGAGUUUGGGAGAGGGACGCGGAAUUCCAGGUGUAGAGGUGAAAUUCGUAGAUAUCGGGAGGAACACCAGUGGCGAAGGCGGCGAUCUGGGUCGAUACUGACGCUGAGGUGCGAAAGCGUGGGGAGCAAACAGG
rnacentral:rRNA from 1 species